GGGGGUGUAGCUCAGCCGGUUAGAGCGCCUGCCUGUCACGCAGGAGGCCGCGAGUUCGAGUCUCGUCAUCCCCGCCA
rnacentral:tRNA from 1 species